rnacentral:lncRNA from 1 species
GAGCGUGUAGCAAGGCAGAGAGAACUUGAGGAGGCUAAGCAAGCAAUGAUGCAGGAUAUUAUGAAUGAGGUUAGGCAAUCAAUGAGGUCGGAUGUUGUGCAGAUAUUGGAAACUCGACACGAAGAUGCACAUCAGGUAAUACAAAUGCUUUCAAUUUAGUAUAGUGAUGUUCUAUGGAAAAAAAUUAAACCUUAUGAGUUAUCCAGUUAAUGCAGUUUUCCCAAGCAAGGGAUGCUCCAAGAAACGGAACUGGAAAUCAAUGAAGUUCUAAGUUUAAAAGUUCGAGCAUGAUUACUCAACACCAGCUUAUGCAAGCAGCUAAACA